CCUACGGGUGGCAGCAGUGGGGAAUAUUGGACAAUGGGGGGAACGCUGAUCCAGCGACGCCGCGUGAGUGAAGAAGUAUUUCGGUAUGUAAAGCUCUAUCAGCAGGGAAGAAAGAAAUGACGGUACCUGACUAAGAAGCCCAGGCUAACUACGUGCCAGCAGCCGCGGUAAUACGUAGGGGGCAAGCGUUAUCCGGAUGUACUGGGUGUAAAGGGAUCCUAGACGGUUACGCAAGUCUGGAGUGAAAGGCGGGGGCCCAACCCCCGGACUGCUUUGGAAACUGUAUAACUGGAGUGCAGGAGAGGUAAGCGGAAUUCCUAGUGUAGCGGUGAAAUGCGUAGAUAUUAGGAGGAACACCAGUGGCGAAGGCGGCGUACUGGACUGUAACUGACGUUGAGGCUCGAAAGCGUGGGGAGCGAACAGGAUUAGAUACCCUUGUAGUC
rnacentral:rRNA from 1 species